AUGGAGGAGUUGGCCUUGGAGCAAGCAAGCAAGCCGGGGGUGUGUUCCUCGGUCAGUUCAGACUCCAAGUGCGGUUCAGCAUUGCGCGCAUACCUCGCCAUCGGCACGACUCUGCCCGCCCCUCUGUCUGAGCUCCCCAAAUUCUCCAUCUGCGGCACCCCGCCCAAAUUGAGCUCCCAGGUUGCGGCCCCGCUCGAAUCAAUGUUGUCGGAGAGGGUCCGCCGGAGAAGAGGAAGAAUGGGGAAAGGGGAAAAGCAAUGGGCGGCGGCGGGCGGACGGGCACGGGCGGAAUCUCUUCUAGCUGCGAAGAGUAUGGUCGGUACUUUGAUUAAAGACAUUUGUGGCUACUGGUCCAUGUGGUUUAAAAGGGAAAGCACGAGCCAAGCGCACCUGCUCGGUGGUGUCCGUGGCGACGUGCAGUUCAUCAAGGACGAGAUGGAGAGCAUGAACGGCUUCCUCCUGCACGUGGCGGAGGCCGAUGAGGCCGGCGAGGAGGACCACCAAGUCGGAGCUUGGAUGAAGCAAGUCGCGGAGGUCGCCUAUGCCUCCCAGAACAGCAUCGAUCGGUACAUCCAGAGCAUCGGCGCCAGCCGCAGGGAGCCAGGCCUCCUAGGCUACCUGGGGCGGCUGCCCAAGUUGGUGUGGACGUUGCCGACGCGUCACCGCAUCGCCAAUCAGAUCCGGAAGCUCAAGAUCCGGUCGUGCGAGGUGGGGGAGAGGCGCAUGAGGUAUGACGUUAAAGUGCCCGAGCUCGACGGAGACCGUUCAAAGGACAGGACCAUGCAUGGCAGUGUCGAGCAAAACAAUCUUAAAGUCCUAGCAAUUGUAGGAAUGGGUGGCUUAGGCAAAACUACUCUGGCUCGGAGAGCUUGGCAGAGUGUGGUAAGCUCAUUUGACUGCAAGGCUUGGAUCUGCGUAUCCGAUUCAAGUUCAGAUUUCAUGUUUUUCCGGGAGGUCCUAGAAGCACUGGCCAGUCCAUCAGAUCAAUUCGAUUUGGAUGGCAAGGAGGAAGAGCUUAUGGCACAGCUUCAGCUGCACCUGAAAGGUAAAAGAUUCUUGCUUGUGUUUGAUGAUAUCUGGGAAAGAUCUCUAUGGAAUCGCAUCAAAUCUGCUUUCCCCCAUGAGAAUUGCUCUGCUGGUAGUGCCAUACUGAUUACCACGCGUUCGAUUGAUGUGGCCCACUCAUUUUCUCCCAAUGAAAACUUAGAUUUGGACACUGAUAGUUAUUUCUAUUUGUGCAACGCAAUGGCCCUAAUGAACAGCAACGACCAAAGCACUUAUCUGCGGCCUCUUUUACGGGAAAUUGUCUCAAAACCUUUGCCAAUCAGGUUGUUUCUACGUGCUCUCUAUGUCAAUCCUAAUAAGACCAAAGGUGAUUUGCAGAAUCUGUGUGACAGCCUGGACAGCUCCAAAACAUCAAUAACAAACAAUGUAAGGCAACUACUCACGUUCUGUAAUCUGAGUAGCAACUGCAAGAAUUGUUUGCUAUAUAUGUCUAUUUUCCCCGAAGAUACAAUCUUUGAGCGGACAAGAUUGGUAAGAAGAUGGGCCGUUGAAGGCAUGACUACUAAAAGAGGCAGACUAAGUGCACUGCAUGAAGCUGACCACUGCUUUGAUCUGCUUGUCGCCCACGGGCUUCUUAUACCAAUGGACAUGGCUGUUACAGGAAAGGUGAAGAGCUGUAAAAUGCAUCAGAUCAUCCAUGACAUUGUUACAGAGAUUGCAACAGAUGAUAAUUUUGUAAAGAGCAGCCAUCAGCCAGACUUGGCUCAUCGCCUUUCUAUUCACUAUGAAGUCCAACCACAGCAAGCUGAGAAGGAGCAAUAUGCAACUUGUUCCAUAGCCUGUUGGGAUAUUUGUCGCCAUUCCAGUCCAAGUGACAAAACAACAGUUGAACAGUCCAAUGCCACGGCCACUCAAGAGUUUUUGGAGUCCCUUCCUUCGUCGACUCACUUGGGGGUUCUGAAGGUGCUUGAUCUAGAAAACUGCAACGAAUUGAAGGACCACCAUCUGAAAAACAUUUGCAACCAUGUAUUCCACCUCAAGUACUUGAGCCUUCGGAAAACUGGCAUUACUCAACUACCCAAGCAGCUUGACAAGCUUCAGUUCCUAGAGACCUUGGACAUUCGUGAAACAGAAGUAAAAGCAUUCGCCAAAAAUUCCCUUUUUCUGCCAAAGCUAAAGCAUCUACUUGCUGGCCAGUGGACUGAUGACACAACCCAAGGUAGCGUCCAAUCUAAAGAGACGUUUCUCACCGUGUCGCUGCCCAAACGUAUCGGGAACAUGACAGAACUGCAGGUGCUAUCUCAUAUUGCAGUUUCUGGCAAAGGCGAUGAAAUAAUUGAUGUUGGCAACCUACUCCAGUUGGUUAAGUUGGGUGUGGUUCUCUCUGGGAGCAAGAGAUCAGUCUUCUGGCAUUUGUACCAUGCAAUUGGAAAGCUUAGAAAAUGUCUUCGCUCACUGUCAAUCCGUGUCACAGAACUGACAAGCAACGAAGAGGAUGACAACAUGAACAUUGAAGAAGCACCCCUCAUACAUCCCAAGUAUCUUCAGAAGCUAAAAAUCAGUGGCCUGAAAUAUGGAUUGCCCUCAUGGAUUAAAAAGCUCGAUGUCCUUACCAAAAUAACCCUCCAUAUGACUUUCAUAACGGAUGAUGACUUCAAAAUCCUCGGAGAGCUUAAAAGCUUGUCCUGCCUUAGGCUCCAACGAGAGUCAUGCAAUGAAAGCACACUCACCUUCAAAAAAGAUGCAUUUCAAAGUCUCAAGUUCCUGGAUAUUGAGUGCUCAGCCAUUACCAGUAUCAAAUUUGUCAAAGAGGCAUCUCCUAUGCUGAAGAAGUUAGUUUGGUCUUCUACUCGUGAACAGUCUCUUUCUGGGAUUGAGGACCUUCCAAGUUUCCGAGAGCUCAAGUUGACAGGCAUCUUUGACUUGCAAAGUGUGGAACAAGCAAUUGCAGCAAACAAGAACAAGCCUAUCUUGGUAGCAGACCGAAUAAAUGCUUAG
rnacentral:rRNA from 1 species